rnacentral:rRNA from 1 species
CGCAUCUGUGCAUGCAGCAUAUCAAUAAGCGGAGGAAAAGAAACUAACAAGGAUUCCCCUAGUAACGGCGAGUGAAGCGGGAAGAGCUCAAAUUUGAAAUCUUAAAGGGUUUCCCUUUACGAAUUGUAGUUUAAAGAAGUGUUUUCUGUUGAGGUUUUGGUAAAAGUUCUUUGGAAUAGGACAUCAUAGAGGGUGAGAAUCCCGUAUUUGACCUUUACUUUCAACUUUGUGAUACACUUUCAAAGAGUCGGAUUGUUUGGGAAUGCAGUCCAAAAUGGGUGGUAAAUUUCAUCUAAAGCUAAAUAUUGGCGAGAGACCGAUAGCGAACAAGUACCGUGAGGGAAAGAUGAAAAGAACUUUGAAAAGAGAGUUAAACAGUACGUGAAAUUGUCAAAAGGGAAGCGUUUGACACCAGUGUUGUUUUUCUGAAAAUCAAUUAAAGAACUGUUUAUGCUAAGUUGUUUAGACUUUAUCAGCUAAUCUGCUUAGUUUUGAGCUUUUCUUUAAUGCACUUUUCAGUUAACAAGUCAACAUCAAUUUCUUUUGCUGUAAAAAAGCUUGAGGAGGGUGGCUUGAGAUUCGUCUUAAGUGUUUAUAGCCUCUUGCCUAUGCAGUCGGAGAGAUUGAGGUCUGCAGCGUAGAUCCUUCGGGGCUAAAUGCAUUUGUGCUAAGUUAUAGCAUUUUAUAGACAACUUGUUGACUAUGAUUUGUCUUGUAGCUUACUCGCUUAUGUUAUUUUACCUACGCUUAGGAUGUUGAGCGCAUGUCUCUCUCU